rnacentral:rRNA from 1 species
AUUGAACGCUGGCGGCAUGCUUUACACAUGCAAGUCGAACGGUAACAGGCCUUCUGGUGCUGACGAGUGGCGAACGGGUGCGUAAUGCAUCGGAACGUGCCCAGAGGUGGGGGAUAACGCAGCGAAAGCUGUGCUAAUACCGCAUGUGAUCUGAGGAUGACAGCGGGGGACUCGGCAGCAAUGUUUGGCCUCGCGCCUUUGGAGCGGCCGAUUUCAGAUUUGGUUGUUGGUGGGGUAAAGGCCUACCAAGCCGACGAUCUGUCGCAUGCCUGAGAGGGCGACAGGCCCCACUGGGACUGAGACACGGCCCAGACUCCUACGGGAGGAAGCAGUGGGGAAUUUUGGGCAAUGGGCGCAAGCCUGAUCCAGCAAUGCCGCGUGAGGGAAGAAGGCCUUCGGGUUGUAAACCGCUUUUGUUAGGAACGAAAAGGUUCUGGCGAAUACCUGGGGCUGAUGACGGUACCGUAAGAAUAAGCACCGGCUAACUACGUG